CUAGUAAUCGUGGAUCAGAAUGUCACGGUGAAUACGUUCCCGGGUCUUGUACACACCGCCCGUCACACCAUGGGAGCGGGUUCUGCCAGAAGUAGUUAGCUUAACCGCAAGGAGGGCGAUUACCACGGCAGGGUUCGUGACUGGGGUGAAGUCGUAACAAGGUAGCCGUAUCGGAAGGUGCGGCUGGAUCACCUCCUUU
rnacentral:ncRNA from 1 species